rnacentral:lncRNA from 1 species
AGAUGUCUGCUGGAGGUAGAGGUGGGAGGGCAGACGUGAGGCAUUUGGUGGGUGUUUGCAGGAAUGAAUUUUACAGAUGUACGGCUGGACAGAAUACUGCAGGCGUUGCUGAACCCUUCAGCGCAGAUUCGGGAGGUUCGAGACGCCCUGAGUGCUGCAUCUGCUAGCACGGCAAACUCACAGGUUUGUAUGUCACCAUCUCGUGCAACAAAAUUUUGUCAUAUCAGGAAGAUGACAAUAUGCCGAAAGCUGAUAGCUUGCAAUCAAUGAUGGGCAUUACUAAUGAGCCUGUGUGCAGGUGAUCUCUGAGAUGGCUGAGAGCACGGUGGUGACUCUGAUGGACCGCUUGAGUGCUCGGCUGGGCGUGCCAACCCAGACCCUCUUCCCAGGCUAUCCUGCUCUGCGAGGUCUUGUGUUCUCUGGCAGUCAGUGACGUGCUUGUCUGUCGUCUCAGUAUGUCCAUCAACAUUCUAAUUAGAUUUAUUGAGCAUUUAUGGUUGGUCUUGGAACAACCGCAAUAUUGAUUGCUGUUAUUGAAUUAUAUUAUAGACCAUUGAUUAGACGAGACAACCCGUUAUCAUGACUAUACCACCAAUUGCUGUACUAUGCAAAACCAAUCUACUGAGCAAGGCCUCCGGCCAUAGGGUCUAGAAGGUACAAUAUUUUUCUUUGUAAAAGAAGGA